rnacentral:rRNA from 1 species
AUCUGAAAGAAAAGUCGUAACAAGGUCUCCGUUGGUGAACCAGCGGAGGGAUCAUUA